UACGGAGGGUGCGAGCGUUAAUCGGAAUUACUGGGCGUAAGGCGCACGCAGGCGGUUUGUUAAGCUAGAUGUGAAAGCCCCGGGCUCAACCUGGGAUGGUCAUUUAGAACUGGCAGACUAGAGUCUUGGAGAGGGGAGUGGAAUUCCAGGUGUAGCGGUGAAAUGCGUAGAUAUCUGGAGGAACAUCAGUGGCGAAGGCGACUCCCUGGCCAAAGACUGACGCUCAUGUGCGAAAGUGUGGGUAGCGAACAGG
rnacentral:rRNA from 1 species